GGUUGCUCCCACCUGAGCCUGGUUCUAGAUGAUUUCUUCCUGUUAAAAAGUGCGUUUUUCAUUCCCACUGUUGCCAAGUGUUUGCUUGUACAGGGGUCAUUUUAUAGGGUUUUACAAUAGAAAGAACCUUUAGGCAACAGCUGUUAUGAUUGAUAUGAAAAUAAAACUAAAUUAUAAUGACAAAAAUAACCCUUCACACUCCAUGCUUGAAUCUAGGAAACAAUGGUUUAAACAAACCCCACAUGCCAGGUUUAGCUGUUUCUCUCCCUCCUAUUUUUCCAUGCCACUGGCUUUUUACUGCUUUUUCAUUUUUCUGUCUUUUCUAAUGUGUGGCUGUGUUUACUGUUCAAAGCCUGACCUUGUCAUGGUGUGCUGUGUGGCAGGCAAAUGCAGAACUCACUGAACGCAGAGAGAUGAACUGAAAGCGGCAGCUUUAUUGCAUCAUCAGAAAUAACUUCACAAACAAACCAAAACCUUAAAAAUGGCAAAUAGAAAGUAAACUGCAUAAUGAAAACAAGAAACUUGGUGGCAUGAAUGAGAGAAACUAACCAGACUUAGAGCAAAACUAACCUUCAGCAAUUCAGAGGGAAAACCACUCAGUGUAAUGCAGGUACGACACAACACUGACAGAGAGAAACACAGGCCUUAAAUAUAAGGAGGGAAUGAGACGGGAGGAGAGCACAGAUUUUGCCACAUCCAUGUUUUUUCACUUCCUGUUUCCUGUGUAAGCUUGUCUAAUGUGUCGUUAGCCACAUUAUUUUCUCUCAUUAUCAUCCUCAUCAGUCUUCUGUUUCCACUCCUUCACCGUCGUGUCAUUGAUGUUGUCACUGUUGUCGUUUCCGCCUGUGUUCAGUUGUUCAGCUGUUCAGCCAGCCAUUCAGUCUUCCAGUCAGUUAGUCAGUCCUGUCGUUCCUGCUGUUCUUUCACUCGCUCCAAUAAAUCCUCAUCAUUCUGCACCAUGAGUCCUGCGUUUGGGUCAUCUCUUCCUCGCCCGCACACAACAACCUGACAGCUGGACCUGAUCAGUUUUCUAUCAUGUCCCAUUUGAGUCCUGCACAAAAAGAGAGUGAUGCAGCUGCAGUCGACUCAGCAGUGGGAACAGAAGAUGUCACUCAUGGAGAAAUCGACAUCAAAGAGAAGCAAGAAGAGGCAAAAAUGUACAGCUGCUCUUCUUUGUCUCCAUCAUAGUUCAAGAUGAAUUUU